UACGUAGGUGGCAAGCGUUGUCCGGAUUUACUGGGCGUAAAGAGCGCGCAGGCGGUCGGAUUAGUCGCGUGUGAAGGCCCCCGGCUCAACUGGGGAGGGUCACGCGAUACUGUUCGACUCGAAGGCAGGAGAGGGAAGUGGAAUUCCCGGUGUAGUGGUGAAAUGCGUAGAUAUCGGGAGGAACACCAGUGGCGAAGGCGACUUCCUGGCCUGUUCUUGACGCUGAGGCGCGAAAGCUAGGGUAGCAAACGGG
rnacentral:rRNA from 1 species